rnacentral:rRNA from 1 species
CCUACGGGAGGCAGCAGUGGGGAAUUUUGGACAAUGGGGGCAACCCUGAUCCAGCAAUGCCGCGUGAGUGAAGAAGGCCUUCGGGUUGUAAAGCUCUUUUGUCAGGGAAGAAACGGUGAUCUCUAAUACAGAUUACUAAUGACGGUACCUGAAGAAUAAGCACCGGCUAACUACGUGCCAGCAGCCGCGGUAAUACGUAGGGUGCAAGCGUUAAUCGGAAUUACUGGGCGUAAAGCGUGCGCAGGCGGUUAUAUAAGUCAGAUGUGAAAUCCCCGGGCUCAACCUGGGAACUGCAUUUGAGACUGUAUGGCUAGAGUGUGUCAGAGGGGGGUAGAAUUCCACGUGUAGCAGUGAAAUGCGUAGAUAUGUGGAGGAAUACCGAUGGCGAAGGCAGCCCCCUGGGAUAACACUGACGCUCAUGCACGAAAGCGUGGGGAGCAAACAGGAUUAGAUACCCUGGUAGUCCACGCCCUAAACGAUGUCUACUAGUUGUCGGGUCUUAAUUGACUUGGUAACGCAGCUAACGCGUGAAGUAGACCGCCUGGGGGNGGUACGGUCGCGAGAAGUUAAAACGUUAAAAGUAAAGUUAGUACGGCGUGAGACGUGACCGACGGACGACGACGAGGGAGGAGG